rnacentral:rRNA from 1 species
AGUGAACGCUGGCGGUAGGCCUAACACAUGCAAGUCGAACGGCAGCACAGGAGAGCUUGCUCUCUGGGUGGCGAGUGGUGGACGGGUGAGGAAUACAUCGGAAUCUACUCUGUCGUGGGGGAUAACGUAGGGAAACUUACGCUAAUACCGCAUACGACCUACGGGUGAAAGCAGGGGAUCUUCGGACCUUGCGCGAUUGAAUGAGCCGAUGUCGGAUUAGCUAGUUGGCGGGGUAAAGGCCCACCAAGGCGACGAUCCGUAGCUGGUCUGAGAGGAUGAUCAGCCACACUGGAACUGAGACACGGUCCAGACUCCUACGGGAGGCAGCAGUGGGGAAUAUUGGACAAUGGGCGCAAGCCUGAUCCAGCCAUACCGCGUGGGUGAAGAAGGCCUUCGGGUUGUAAAGCCCUUUUGUUGGGAAAGAAAUCCAGCUGGCUAAUACCCGGUUGGGAUGACGGUACCCAAAGAAUAAGCACCGGCUAACUUCGUGCCAGCAGCAGCCGCAG